rnacentral:rRNA from 1 species
CAAGUCGUGGGGCAGCGCAGUGUAGCAAUACAUGGGCGGCGACCGGCAAACGGGUGCGGAACACGUACGCAACCUUCCCAAAACUGGUGAAUAGCCUUUCGAAAGAGAGAUUAAUACACCGUAACUUAAUGAAGUGGCAUCACUUUAUUAAUAUAGCUCCGGCGGUUUUGGAUGGGCGUGCGCCUGAUUAGGUAGUUGGCGGGGUAACGGCCCACCAAGCCUACGAUCAGUAACUGGUGUGAGAGCACGACCAGUCACACGGGCACUGAGACACGGGCCCGACUCCUACGGGAGGCAGCAGUAAGGAAUAUUGGUCAAUGGACGCAAGUCUGAACCAGCCAUGCCGCGUGGAGGAUGAAGGUCCUCUGGAUUGUAAACUUCUUUUAUCGGAGAAGAAACCCCGACAUUCUUGUUGGGUUGACGGUACCCGAUGAAUAAGCACCGGCUAACUCCGUGCCAGCAGCCGCGGUAAUACGGAGGGUGCAAGCGUUAUCCGGAUUCACUGGGUUUAAAGGGUGCGUAGGUGGGCUAGUAAGUCCGUGGUGAAAUCCCCGAGCUUAACUCGGGAACUGCCGUGGAUACUAUUAGUCUUGAAUAUCGUGGAGGUAAGCGGAAUAUGUCAUGUAGCGGUGAAAUGCUUAGAUAUGACAUAGAACACCGAUAGCGGAGGCAGCUUACUACGCGAUUAUUGACACUGAGGCACGAAAGCGUGGGGAUCAAACAGGAUUAGAUACCCUGGUAGUCCACGCCCUAAACGAUGGAUACUCGACAUACGCGAUACACUGUGUGUGUCUGAGCGAAAGCAUUAAGUAUCCCACCUGGGAAGUACGACCGCAAGGUUGAAACUCAAAGGAAUUGGCGGGGGUCCCACAAGCGGUGGA